rnacentral:rRNA from 1 species
AGCCUUUUCAAAGGCGGCCACGUCGACAGCGUCGUCGGUUAACACGCAACAAGCGCGCGCCAUCGACCGCCGGCCAAAAGCGCACCGCACUUGCCGCCGCUAACCGCCGCAGUGCCGCCUCCGCGCCGCCGCUGCAGCCGCCGCCGAUGGGUCAGUCAUACCUAUCUCCCACUCACACAGAAAAACAAAAACUAUCCGCCGCCCUCGGCUCGGACGAGACGACCCGCUGAACUUAAGCAUAUCGCUAAGCGGAGGAAAAGAAACCAACCGGGAUUCCCUUAGUAACGGCGAGUGAACCGGGAGAAGCCCAACGCCGAAUCCCGUCGCAAGUAAAAGGCUUCGGGACGUGUGGCGCAUGGGUCGAAGACAGCCGUUCGUUUUCGUCUCGCGUAGUUCGGAGUUCCCUCGAUCGGGGCCGCCCGCGGCGGGUGCCAGGCCCAUUCGGUGCGGACGGCGAGCGACGGUCUUCGAUCCGAGAGUCGGGUUGCUUGGGAACGCAGCCCAAAUCGGGUGGUAAGCUCCAUCCAAGGCUAAAUACCGGGACGAGUCCGAUAGUCGACAAGUACCGUGAGGGAAAGUUGAAAAGAACUUUGGAGAGAGAGUUCAAGAGAACGUGAAACCGCCCAGGGGUAAACGGGUGGGACCGCUCACCGCGAUCGCGGGGGGACUCAGUCCGGUGCUGCCUAGGCUCGAGCCCAAACUCGAUGUGUUACUUAACAGGCUGUCGCGGACGUCGUCGUCGUGUCCGCGGGGACUCGUUCUCCGCGGGCCAGCUUUUGUGCCCGCGUCGCCGACGAAGGAGACGGGCCGCGUGGAYAGCGGGAAGGGAAACGUGGUGACGACCGCGGCGACGGCGGCUGCGACGGGAGGACCGUGGGGUUCGCUCCGCGCCCUUUCGCUCGCUGCCGCCGGCCUGCCGCACCAGUUGCCGCCGCUUCUUCUUUCCUCUCGCUCCCUCUGCGCGCGGCUCCACUGCACCCGUCGCCUUCUCACCGCUCGGCAUCAAUGUCGCGGGCGCUUCGGCGCGACUUCCGCACGGCCGGCACCGGACGCACUUCCCCUCCGGUCCGUCGUCGCGACCCGUUCCCGGCGUGCAGGUCGACACGCGGGUUUUUCCGUAGGCGGCAGGCGCUUUUGAAAACCCUCGCAACCUCGCGGUUGCGGGGGCCACCGGCCGUCGGGCCCGCGAACGUAACUGCCCCCUUCUGCCGGGGACGGAGGAAAUCUCACGCGAUCCGUUAUACGUGGCGAGCCGGUUCGUCUUUAAUCCCGUCGGACGUCUCGCGCGGGUGACCUCGUGUCGCUCCUUCGGCGCCCCACCGUCUCGGGCGUGCGCGAGAGAAGAGUCGGGAGAGAACUGGCGCGGCCUCGCCGUCACGCACCUCGCCGAUGUUCGGGAAAUCAGCGGUGUCGGGGGUGACCCCGCCCGCGCCCGUUCUGUCCGGUGAGGUCGCUCGGCGACGCCCCUUUCGGCCGCCCGCCACCUCGGGUCAGCGACGUGCAUCGGCAACCCACCCGACCCGUCUUGAAACACGGACCGAGGAGUCCUGGCCGUUCGCGAGUCGUAGGGGCCCCCUCUGACUAACCCCGAAGGCGUAGCGAAAGCGAGAGAGCGUGUCGGAGGGCGUCGACCGGGAGAGGUGUCGUGGCGAAGUCGUCGGGGUGGAGUGCUCGGUUUCGGCCGUCUCUUUGCUCCCGCCUCCGAGCCGUGCCCGAUCCCGCCGGCGCGGUGUCUCGUCUUCCGCGCGCCGCCGUCGCAGGCCCGCACUUUUCUUCUCACGAGGAGAGGGAAGGCCUGUGGCUGGCGUGCGGUCGUUUCCCUCCUCCCCUAGACGGGGACCGGUCUAGGGAAUUGCGGGGCAUCAGCUUCCAUCCUCCUUCCGCCCAUCGGUGAGAUCCCGCGGCUUGAACUAGUCCUAUUUUGUCGUCGAGUUUAGGCACUGCGCGCGGGCGCAUCACCCCCGGGUCGGUUCCUUCUCCGAGUACGACUCGGCCGACUCUGGCGUAGCGAGCGACCAGGGACCCGAAAGAUGGCGAUCCACGCCCGGUCGGGAUGAAGCCAGAGGAAACUCUGGUGGAAGUCCGAAGCGCCUCUGACGUGCAAAUCGAUCGUCGGAACCGGGUGUAGGGGCGAAAGACCAAUCGAGCCGUCUAGUAGCUGGUUCCCUCCGAAGUUUCCCUCAGGAUAGCUGGCGCUCGAUCGUCGCAAUUCCAUCCGGUAAAGCGAACGAUUGGAGGCCCCGGGGCCGUUCACGGCCUCGACCUACUCUCGAACUCGGAACGGGUGGAACGGGCCGACUCUCCCGAACAACGGAGCCGACCCACAUUUUCGCGCCGCCGCUCGCCGGCGGCGUCGAAAACGAAUGCGAGUGCCAAGUGGGCCACUUUUGGUAAGCAGAACUGGCGCUGUGGGAUGAACCAAACGUCCGGCUAAGGUGCCUAACGCGACGCCCAUGAGAUCCCCGAAAGGGUGUCGGUCGAUAUAGACAGCAGGACGGUG